rnacentral:rRNA from 1 species
AGAGUUUGAUCCUGGCUCAGAAUCAACGCUGGCGGCGUGCCUAACACAUGCAAGUCGAGCGGGAAAAGGGGCUUCGGCCCCUGAGUAUAGCGGCGGACGGGUGAGUAACACGUGGGUAAUUUGCCCUUGGGUGUGGAAUAACUCAGGGAACCUUGAGCUAAUACCGCAUGACAUCCUUUUCUCAUACGAGUUGAGGAUCAAAGCCGGGGACCCUUCGGGGCCUGGCGCCUGAGGAGAAGCCCGCGCCCGAUUAGCUAGUUGGUGAGGUAAUGGCUCACCAAGGCUUCGAUCGGUAGCCGGCCUGAGAGGGCGGACGGCCACACUGGGACUGAGACACGGCCCAGACUCCUACGGGAGGCAGCAGUGGGGAAUUUUUGUCAAUGGGGGAACCCUGAACAAGCAACGCCGCGUGGAGGACGAAGACCUUCGGGUUGUAAACUCUUGUCGGAGGGGACGAAAGCGGUCGAGGCUAAUAUCCUCGGCCGUUGACGGUACCCUACGAGGAAGCCCCGGCUAACUCCGUGCCAGCAGCCGCGGUAAUACGGGGGGGGCAAGCGUUGUUCGGAAUUACUGGGCGUAAAGGGCGCGUAGGCGGGUGGACAAGUCUCUCGUGAAAGCCCACGGCUCAAUCGUGGAAUUGCGGGAGAUACUGUCUGUCUUGAGUCUGGGAGAGGAGGGUGGAAUUUCUAGUGUAGCGGUGAAAUGCGUAGAUAUUGGGAGGAACACCGGUGGCGAAGGCGGCUCUCUGGAUCGGUACUGACGCUGAGGCGCGAAAGCUAGGGGAGCAAACGGGAUUAGAUACUCUGGUAGUCCUAGCUCGUAAACGAUGAGCACUUGGUGUGGCGGGUAUCGACUCUCUGCCGUGCCGAAGCUAACGCAUUAAGUGCUCCGCCUGGGGCGUACGGUCGCAAGGCUGAAACUCAAAGGAAGUG